CUGGAUUCUGGAGGAGGCCUCGGCGCGCAGCUGGGCGAGUACUAACUGUUUGCACUCUCAUCAGACCUGCCUCGGUCAUGGGAGAAGUUGAAGACUUUCUGCAAUGCAGCAUCUUCAAGCAAUACACACAUGGAUGAAAAUCCUAAAGUUUGCAUGAAGGACCAAUAACGUGCCUAGAAACAGGCAAAGUGAGGGAGCUCCUUUGCUAGAUGAUCUUCAGAGCCUCUCCCAGCUGUGACCAGAAAUGGAAAGCCAGAGAAGGAUGCCUCGGGGUGGAAACGGGAUGACAGCCAGUGGUUUCUCCACACAUGGACUUGCCAGAACCUUUCCCGAAAUGCUAGGUUGGAAAACUCACAGCUGAUUAAUUACCGCAGUCCACGGCUUACUCCGUCGGGUGGACACAGCGUCCCUCCCCUCUGGAGGAUGCAGCAACAAAAUGCCUCCUUGGAAGCUGAGAGCAGCCCUCACUGGACAACAGAACCUGCUGGCGCUGUGAUCUUGGACUUCCCAACCUCCAGAACAGACUGACUGUAGUCAUAAAGCAGGAUGGACAGCAUCCAGCUGGGUCUUGAGUGGUGGCCCAUACCGAUGUGGACUCCCAUGAUCUGGACUGGCUGGGAGGAUGCUACUGCCUGGUGGCCCCACGCCUGUUGGCCAUGGGAGUUUUGGCCUUCACGUGUUAACUGAAAUAAUGAACACCAUGGUGCUCCAGGUCUCUCGCUCCCAUCCAGGCAUUCUCCACCUGAUAUCUCUCUGGAGGGUGGAUGCUUUUGUCAGCUGUGUCCUCAAUAAACUGCAACCAGGCAUGGGGCAAUGUGGAGGGAGGGAAGAGAUUUAAAUUCAUUUUCUGGGGGGAAGAGUCACCUCCUACUGGAAUCAAGAGCUAAAAAGAGUUCUCCCAUGUGUGCAGUGCCACGUAACUUCCGGUGUAAUGCCACGAAACACCCACACGUGGAAAACACAGUUGCCAGUUCUUCCUCCUCCACCGUGCAGCUCCGGGGAGCUGUGGGGAGCCAGCCCCCUCCAGAAUUAUCUGAUGCCAGCGUUGGCGUGGACAUAAUAAUGAACAAAUAAGCAUUUUUUUAAAUUGACAAGGUGAAAAAGAAGGUUUAGGAUUAAGGAAUCUUGCCUGAGGAUUAGUCGAAUGUCAGUGAGGAGAAAUAACACUGAAUAGACCCAAAAUAUGUUUUCAGGAAACCUCGAAAAUGCUUUCUGCAUAAUAUUAUAUCUCCCUCUGCUAGAACUGCCAAUUUUGAGUUUCUCACUAUUUUUAUUUUCUUGAGAAAUGAUCAUUUUUAUAAAUAGCCUUUUAAAUGUCAAACUAACUGGUUGAAUAAUUUAUCUCUACUUCUUAUCCUGAAUAACUCAACCCUUGCUUGAUUUUCUAAAGGGUUGGGGGAAAGGGGUUCUCAGACAUAAGCGCCCAGAAUAAAUCCUUCUGUCUGUUAGAGGCUUUGGCUGUCUCCUUUCCCGCGGGUGGUGUGGGCUCCCUGUGGCUGGAAGGCGGCUGUCCUUCCGACGGCUUGCUUCCGCUUGGCUCUGCUCGCUCUUCAGUCACAGCCACAGCAGGGUCCAUGAAGGCAGAUGACAGACGGGAACCCCCAAGAGGCACCUAACCAGGGAUCACGUGUGCUUUCCAUGAAGCCACAGGAGGACCAUGACUCACUCCUCAGAGCAGCAACCCAGGGCUGCGGCAUGAUGGGCCUGGUCGGCGCUGGGUGCCUCGUUCGGUGCCGGCAGGAACCAGCACGCACUCAGGCUGAUGAGACCAGGAGGGUCAGCUGGACCCUGACCAUGGUUCUCAAAGGGUGUGCCAGGACCUGCAACAGAAGCACCACUUGGGAACUUGUCAGAAAUGCAAAUUCUUGCCCCUCCUCUAGGCCCGCUGAAUCCUAAACUCUGGAGGUGGGGCCAAGCCAUCUGUGAAUGAACUCCCGCUCCGGGUCGCACCGACCCACCCUCACGUGUGAGAACCCCGGUCUAGGACCCUGGUUCUCCAACUCGCCUGUAUAUGUUUUCAAAAUGCUUGACCUCUCACUGGGAAUUUUUUAAAAAAUAAAUUUUAAAAAU
rnacentral:lncRNA from 10 species